rnacentral:rRNA from 1 species
UACGUAGGGUGCGAGCGUUGUCCGGAAUUAUUGGGCGUAAAGGGCUCGUAGGCGGUUUGUCGCGUCGGGAGUGAAAUCAUCUGGCUUAACUGGGUGCUUGCUUUCGAUACGGGCAGACUAGAGGUAUGCAGGGGAGAACGGAAUUCCUGGUGUAGCGGUGAAAUGCGCAGAUAUCGGGAGGAACACCGGUGGCGAAGGCGGCGACCUGGGUAGAUACUGACGCUGAGGUGCGAAAGCGUGGGGAGCAAACAGG